GGUCCUGUAGCCUAAUGAAUAAGGUGUCGGUCUCCUAAACCGAAGAUUCAAGGUUGGAGACCUCUUUGGGUCG
rnacentral:tRNA from 1 species